UACGUAGGGUGCGAGCGUUAAUCGGAAUUACUGGGCGUAAAGCGUACGCAGGCGGCUGGGUAAGACAGGUGUGAAAUCCCCGGGCUUAACCUGGGAACUGCAUUUGUGACUGCCCGGCUAGAGUCCGUUAGAGGGAGGUGGAAUUCCACGUGUAGCGGUGAAAUGCGUAGAGAUGUGGAGGAACACCGAUGGCGAAGGCAGCCUCCUGGGCCAAUACUGACGCUCAUGCACGAAAGCGUGGGGAGCAAACAGG
rnacentral:rRNA from 1 species